rnacentral:rRNA from 1 species
UACGUAGGGACCAAGCGUUGUUCGGAUUUACUGGGCGUAAAGGGCGCGUAGGCGGUCAGCACAAGUCAGUUGUGAAAUCUCCGGGCUUAACCCGGAAAGGUCAACUGAUACUGUGCGACUAGAGUGCGGAAGGGGCAACUGGAAUUCUCGGUGUAGCGGUGAAAUGCGUAGAUAUCGAGAGGAACACCUGCGGCGAAGGCGGGUUGCUGGGCCGACACUGACGCUGAUGCGCGAAAGCGUGGGGAGCGAACAGG